UUUUUCCUUAUCACCUUAGCGCAGACAAGAAAAUCGACAUUUCGAAAACAAUUAAUAGAAGAAAGUUCCCAGAAUAUUCAGGAAGAAUGAAAGCCUUUAUCUUUAUCUCCUGAGACAGUUUUGUCAGCAUCUUUGUUUAAUUCCAACUUCCAUUUAGCAUAAAUUCCUUGAUCUCUAUUUCUUCUUCAAUAACAUUUUCUCCCUCUAUAAAGUAUAAAGCUCCUUGUUUUGUCCAGUUAUCAAACCAAAAGCUUGAAUUUCCUUCACCUGCCACCAAAUAUCUGCUCAAUGGAUAAAUCUCCUUUCCUGCUUAUGUCUUCUAUAAUUUCUUCCAUAUUAUUAUCUUCCUCUUCUUGCAACUUUUUGUCUAUCUCUAGUUGAGAUAAUUGAUGAAUCUUUGGUGCCUUCUGCGGGGUACCACACCGAUAUAUGAAUAAUAAUGGUUGGCUCGAUACCAUACCUCGUAAGAAUAUUAAUUCUAGUUGACUCGGGUACCAUGCCGAUACACUAACAGUUUGUGUGUAGGUUCCUUGAGAGGACCAGGUAUGUGUAUUUGUGGUUCCACGAUAGGGUGGGGUUCUUGUAAUUGUAAUCAUGUGGGACAUGUUCUAGGUAUUGGUUAAUUCAUGUUAUUGUGACUGUGAGUCUAUGUGAUAGUAAUUGUUGUUAUAUGUGUUGGCUAAUGUUUACUAUGUUGUGGUUAUUUGUUUACAUUCAUGAUUUGGAACUGACAGAGUGAUCCUAUCAGUACACAGUACACUCUGGUUGUGUAUUGAUAUUACACCUGUUUUUUUUUUGUUGAGUACAUAACAUCUUUCAGGGGCUGAUAUGAGACCUCAGUUAAAGGAUGUUUGACUUUGAAUCCAAGGUGAGCUACUCUUCCAGACUGUCAUGGAUUCCUCUACAUCUUCUUGCCUAUCUUUUCAGACACAAACUUUAGAUUAUUAGUUUAUGUUUCCUAGCUUUCAGGGUUGUAUCCUCAUUAUUGACUAAAUAGAGUUUUGCUACUACGAUUUUCAGUUUCUAGAGGUCUUAUUUUCGUAAUAUUUUGGACUAACGACUGAGUUUAUACAAACUCAAUUCUUUAAUUGUUUUAAACUAUUUUCUUACUAUUUAUUUUCAUGAGUUGAGACAUUGUGUGUUGGAUUAACUUUGGAUGGAUAGAUUGUUCUCCCAUCAGGUGGUUAAUGUGGGUGCCACUCACGACAAUAAGGUCGUAGAAUAUUUUAAAUAAUUGAGUGAUAUUUUUUACCUUUUCCUUUUGAUACUAUGUUAAAUUGGGAGGUUCUUUAGCUGGUGGACCAACCACCUGCGUUGUCUUUUUUUGACUUUGAGUAAUGGUAUUACGUAUAUUGACAUUGACAUGAAAAUGGAAUAUUAAUUUA